GUUCUCCUUUGUCGCGCGGUGCUCGCCGUGCGCUCGCGAUUUCCGUGUUGCUUGUCGCAAUUCGAGCGAUCGCACGACCCUCAGGAACGGCUCGCGACGGACGUCCGUUUCGUUUCAAAGAGGCGAACCGUAGCUCCAUUCUGAGGAAAUUGGAUGGAACGAGGGGUCGAAGUGAUCACGAUAACAAAUUUCCAACAAGGGAAGGAAGGGGAGGAAAUACGUAACGAUGCGAGGCCAGAGAUUGCAGUUUACGAGCUGCCGAGUGAAAGCAUAACUCGGGGAAAAUUUGCUGGCCAACCGGGUCCUUCGACAGGACUAUACUUUGGCCCUGUACUUUCCUGCGACGGCUCAAUCGAAUUAUGAACGCCUCUGGUCUGAUUACAGGGAUAUUACUGGAAGGAACAUAACAUUUGUGAUAGCAAUGCCUGAGUAACUUCUUAAACAAGUCGAUUUUAGGUUUAGGGGGGUAGUGUUUUAUUUUUUAUCAGUUUCGGGGCAAGCUUCGUUACUUCGCGAUCAGGCUAACUGGACGACCCGUGAUAUGAAUGGUUAUAGCUUUGGGAAGACGAGAAUAUAAAAGAAAAGAGCAUCUAUUUAAUAACUAUAUUCCUCGCGGGCGUCGAAAUGGUUGAACACUUCACUUCUGGAGAUUUAUAAUCGACAGACCCUUUUCAUAGUGCAAUUUUUCCUCAAAACGUUGCCUGCCAUGCCUGUUCCUCGACAGACGUUCACAUUAUAGUACAAAGAAUAGAGACGUCAGAUCAUGCCUCGGCGUGCUUGUUAUUUUACAGGUUUCCUGUCGGCAUUGUCUGGAAUCGCGCGAGUAUCGGUGAUUGUUGUAAACUCGCGUGGCAGUCGACGCGUCGAGGACAAUUGUUCCGAGUAUAAAGCACGCGUCUCGCGCGAGCCCUUCUUUCGACGCAGCCACGACAAUAACGCGGCUAAGUCGGCUGCUUAACACCUAGCUUUGGCUUUAAUAAAGCGUCCCAGCGAUCGCCUUUGAGCUCGCGAGGGGGGUGCGGUCACGGAAGCGGCGAGCAUUUUCCGACGCUUUCCACAUUAUACCGUCUGAAGGAAGAGAAAAAAGUGCCGAGCAAUGCGUUAGGAAAAAUGGAGGGCGGCCGAGGGGUGCGGAAGGUGGCCGAAAGGAUGGCGAAUUCAGAGCCACGCUGGCGGGAUCCAUUGUUAUACAGCGUCGAGUUUUCUCUUCUUUUCCAUUGUUUUCGUUCGGUGCGCACCACCCCCAUGCUUUUUCCACGCCUUCGUCCCUUCCGUCGCGGUUUUUAUGUAUCUGGCUUAAUAAAACGUUCAGCUCUAUUUCGUCGUUACAUCCUGCAACUACCACCCUCUCGAUCCUCUCCUUCUCGUCCCUCUCAAUGUCAUUAAACACAUUUAAAGAGGGGCUGAGGACGCUAAAAACAUUUCGAUUUAUUAUAGGGUAACGUUCUCGUUUAAUGCAAUAUUAGUUACAGUGGCAAUCCUUUCCAGUGCUUUUUCAAAGGAAUUUUCUCUCGAUAAACAAGAUAUGAAUUACCUCUUUAACAACCUUAGGUUUAUACAGUAUGAAAUAUCACUAAUAACAGUGCUUUUCAUUCAACAACUACAAAAAUUGAUUCUGAAAGUCACAGAAAAUGAAUUUAAAUGAAAUACUUAAACUUUGAUGAAGAUACAAAACUAAAUACCUCAAUAAAUGUUUCAUCACGCAGUUUCAAAUAGUCUGUAAUCAAAAUUUAAUCACAGUAGAAAUUUUCAAGAGUCUGGCAGUGAACGCGUUAAUGCAUGCAAUUUUGUUGCAAUAUUUAUUGUAUUUACUUCUUCAUAAAAGUGUCCCUAAACUUUCAGACAGCGCAAUAUGUCCAACUCUAGUUUAGAGUUCCUCGUACAACUACAUAAAACCCCGAACAAAGUCAAACAUGGCAUUCAUGUCUAAAUGCAGUCUACGUCACCGGGAAGAACAGUUUUAUUAAAUGUUUUUCACGUUGUUCGUCGCGCCACCGUCGAAAAAAAGUAAUAGAAACAUUCCAUAGCAAUUCUCGAGCCGGAAAAGUUGCAUGAUCCGACGUAGAAUAACUCAUCUUCAAGCUCUCCGGUAUUAACCGUCUGGCGUGACCCAUAAAAAGGGAGACUACCACACCAAGACGCUCAAGCCGAGGACAAGAGUCCACAGCCUAAAAGAGGGAUGGUUAAUGAAACUUUAAUUCGACUGCCUGGCCUCGUUUAAUCGUUGCGUUUUUCAUUUCCUGCUUUCGGCAAGGACAGACAAAGAGCAAACAAAGAAAAAGACAAUGGGGGCUAGGGAUACGAAGGAAAAAAAAACAGUGGCGUGCUUCGUCGGGGAAAAAGAAGUUACGAUCACUUUUAAUAUUCUGGAGUAACUUCGAAUGAUGAUGGUGGCACUUUAAUCGUCACGGGGGAGAUUUAUGAGGCGGUAUAAUUAAAUUCAGGUUUCUAAAUAGGUUUCUGUUAGAUUCUGUUAAUAUUGUUCACUUAUGAGGAUUUUUCAAUUGAGAAUUUGUUUGGAAAAGAAAAUGAACCGCAGUUUCAAAUAGUUUAAACUAGUUAGAAGCGAAAAUACUGUACCUCGAUCAAAGUUUGGAAAUACAAACGCAAGUAGAUGCAGGGAGUAUUGGUCAGACAUCGCCUCGAAGUCGUACUCAAGCGAUUAAUCAGUUCAAGUAACAAAAUGCGCAUGUAAAUCUUUCGUCAGCACCUCCAAAUCAGUUUGUACGAUCAAUGUCACGUGCACUCCGUGAACAAUUAUCUUCAGCUCUGAAAUUUGCCUCAGCCCACUAAUAGAAUUAAUUCAACGCGCAAGGUACGCGUGCAAGAAUUCGCGAACGUCGACUCGAACGCGACGCCAACGUACAAAGACCACGACAGUGAUCCCUCUCGCAUUGUACUCGUGUACAUCCGUCCGAUUAUUGCCUUUGUGGCAGGCUCGGUGGCAAUUUCACGGACUAAAAAUUUAAAUAAUAAGGACCCGUCGGUGCAUCGGCGAAACGGAAAUAGGGCGACCAGCGGCGGCGUGGUUUCGCUGCAUCCUGAGAAACGACGACGCGGCAAAAGGAGGCAAAGAACACCGAAGGGAAUUAGAGCGUGGUCCGAAAAAGAUGAAAUGAAGACGAAAAAAGGAAGGAUCCGAGCCGUGGCUCGAUGAAAGUGCCCAAAGAGCGCAACACGACCGGAGGAAACGAGAAAAGAACGGUUCGGCGAUAAGCGGGGACCUCGUGGAACUAGAAAAUAGAGAAAACAUCAAUUUAAAGAGGAAUUAAAAAAUUAAAACUUCCUCACCCUCUGUGUCGUAAUAGGAGAAGUUGAGUGUUCCUCGAAAGCCUUGCCACUCUUAAAUGUUCCUGGAGAUUUAUUAAGUCUUGAAAAAUUCUGAAUCUCUUCGCAUUCUUCGGGAGGAACUUAGCUCGAAUAAAUUAGAGAGUGUAGUAGAUUAGAGUUAAAUCAUUUUUCUAUGCUUUUUGUAGUACUGCAUGAAAUAUCCAAUGUGUUGACUUUCUUAUCAAAAAAGUGAUUUAAAAGUAUCGAGUCCAUUAUAUCGUAUAGAGUGUCAUGGAAAUAUGUCGAAAAAUACUUUCUUGUAUUGAUGGAUCGGCUAGGUUAUACUAUCCUUCAAAAUAGGACACCUUACAAGAAAAUUCCUAUGAAUGUUUCACGAUUACUCACAAGUGAAAAAGAAUACAAGAAAGGGUAACCAUCCAAAUUAAUCGAAGAAUUAAAAUUGGAAAUGACAAGAAGAAAUAAUUCGAGAGAUUAAAUAUCACCAAAAGGGUAUAAAAGCGAGAGAGAAAGUCGUGUUGGCAUCCAAGGCAAAUGACGAGAACCUAAAUAAGUAAGGCGGAAAACGGAGCCUGGAUUGACGGAAGCAGAAGCGGGAUUUAAUGGAAGCGGUGGCAAAUAAGUGCAAGAGAAGAGUUUUCUUUUUUGAAAAAGAAAGGAGGCUGAAGGGAGGGGGAGACAAAGGAUCGCCGAGAACCAAAGAUGAGGAAUGUUUUUGAAGACGGAGGGAAAGGAAGAAUGGGCGCGGGUUGGUCCAGUGGCGCGCGACAACGAAAAUAAAACAGCCGGAUGUGUACGUGCUCGGCCGAGCGAUGCCACGGGCCGUCGUCGUUUGGUACUUCCGGUUUUCCAAGGCUUCUCUCCACUCUCACCGGACUAAUUUUCCGGCUGCUCGCUGUUCUGACUAUUUUCACGACGAACGGGCUUUAGAGUGUAAUAUUCUCGCUUAAAAAUCUCCCUACGUUCAAGGAUAAUUGCCUGGAAGACUACUCGGUGGAUAUUCCGUUGGCUGGGUUGCCUUUGAAAUUUUCUUUCUGUCCUAAUAAAUUGAAGAUUCAUUAGCACUGACCACGGUGAAUUAACCUUUCCCGACAAAGAGAUAAUAUUUGUUGCGUUCGAUAAUCGAAUGAUUGCUUACUGCAGGGGUUGUAUCUAAACUCUUCUUAAGGAAAUAAUUUGUUCAUCCUCAAUAUAUUAGUUUUUUAUGUUUAUUGACCUUUUAUAUGUAUGAUACAAUUUAUAAAUAUUUUAUUAUAUUUCUUCUUUGAAUAUUUUAAAGUGAUAUUAAUCAACGUAAAUGGAGUUUCAUGUUAUGAGAAAAUUUAAGAGAUUAAGAUACAAUUUCCUUAAAAACGUUGCAAGUGUAACUAGCUUCGUUAAACGAAGAUAAAUAAAUAAAAUUGAA